GUCAAAUCAUCAUGCCCCUUAUACCCUGGGCUACACACGUGCUACAAUGGGUCGGUACAAAGAGAAGCGAAACUGUGAAGUGAAGCAAACCUCAUAAAGCCGAUCUCAGUUCGGAUUGUAGUCUGCAACUCGACUACAUGAAGAUGGAAUCGCUAGUAAUCGUGGAUCAGCAUGCCACGGUGAAUACGUUCCCGGGUCUU
rnacentral:rRNA from 1 species